UCUCUUCUAUCCAGAGCAACUCUCCCUUCUACCAUCGUUGCCGGACGAAGUAUCAGGUCUGCAAAAUCUGAACAAUGGCCGCGGCUCUCUCUCCGGCCAGAGCCUCCGUCGUCUCUGUCUCUGUUGAACAUCUAUUGAAAAAGAACAGGUAAGAAUUUAGGUUUUUGUACUUAAUUUCUUCCUUGAAUUGCAGUCAUUGGCUUCUAAUUUUCUGUUAUAAUUUUCUGUUCUGUUCCAUCCUCCUUGCGAUUAGGUCUUGAUUCCCAGAUCUGUUAUCGCAUCAACUCUUUAAAGUAGGCUACCACAACAGGAAAGGGACACUUCAGGAUAUUUAUGAAAUAAUGCAUAAAAAGACGUUAGAUUAAAAAAUUGAGAUUUCAUUACCCACGUCUAAACUAUUACAUGGUACAAACAUCUCAAUAGAGGGAAUGCAUCAAUUCAUUGAUAAAGAAUAGCACAAAUUACAAGUCCUGUUACACAACACAAAGAGCCCAUCCAAAGCUCCAUAAUCAUUACCUGAGAUCGUACGUGUAUCUAUUUGAAGGAAGCCUCCGAAAGAUGCCAAAAAAAAAAAAUUCAUACAUCAGUUGUAUCCGUAGUAGCUUCGUAUUUCUUGAUUGCUUUCUAGUUGUAAAUUGGACUAAAAAGUAGUUUAGGUUCCAGGAAAUGUGCUGGUUGUACUAGAGAGGAUAAUGAAAGCACAAACUACAGAAAGGAGAAGACAGAAACCCAAGUAUUCUCGUUGUACGUUUCCAUGGCAUCGAUAAAAGACAAUCAAGUCCGACUUUCUGCCCAGUUCCCUGAAAGAUACCAAAGAAUCAAGAUCUGCUUUGUAUUUAGCAAAAAAAACAACAGAAGAUCUGCCCAAAUCGCAGUUUGCCCAAAUCGCUACCCCUUUGUUUGCCCAAAUUACAGAGAAACGUAUUACCUUUGUU
rnacentral:lncRNA from 1 species